UAAGUACCAUUAAAGAGGCAGCCAC
rnacentral:misc_RNA from 1 species